rnacentral:rRNA from 1 species
AUGGCUCAGGAUGAACGCUGGCGGCGUGCUUAACACAUGCAAGUCGAACGAGGCACCUUGCAGAAGUUUCGGAUGGAAGCGGAGGCGACCGAGUGGCGGACGGGUGAGUAACGCGUGGGAACCUGCCCCAUUCCGGGGGAUACCAGUUGGAAACGACUGUUAAUACCGCAUAAGCGCACGGAAGGACAUCCUUUUGUGUGAAAAACUGAGGUGGAAUGGGAUGGCCCCGCGUCUGAUUAGCCAGUUGGCAGGGUAACGGCCUACCAAAGCGACGAUCAGUAGCCGGCCUGAGAGGGCGACCGGCCACAUUGGGACUGAGACACGGCCCAAACUCCUACGGGAGGCAGCAGUGGGGAAUAUUGCACAAUGGGGGAAACCCUGAUGCAGCGACGCCCGCGUGAGUGAAGAAGUAUUUCGGUAUGUAAAGCUCUAUCAGCAGGGAAGAAGAUGACGGUACCUGCACAAGAAGCCCCGGCUAACUACGUGCCAGCAGCAGC